UUGCCCGGCUAAAGCAGUCUGUGCUUUGGACUGGCCAACACAGGGGGGUAGAGCAUUCCUCUCACUAAAACCCAGGGCAGGGUUUUUGCUCUCUGCUUUUGGAUCCUGUCGUGAGACACACGU